GUGUCAGCCGCCGCGGUAAGACGAACCGUCCAAACGUUAUUCGGAAUCACUGGGCUUAAAGGGUGCGUAGGCGGCCCUGAAAGUUGGGUGUGAAAUCCCUCGGCUCAACCGAGGAAUUGCGCCCAAAACUCCAGGGCUUGAGGAAGACAGAGGUGAGCGGAACUUGCGGUGGAGCGGUGAAAUGCGUUGAUAUCGCAAGGAACACCAGUAGCGAAAGCGGCUCACUGGGUCUUCCCUGACGCUGAAGCACGAAAGCUAGGGGAGCGAACGGGAUUAGAUACCCGUGUAGUCC
rnacentral:rRNA from 1 species